AGACCUUCAGCCCUGGCAUCAGCUUCACCAUCUUCUCAUUUCCACCUGCGUGAUCCCUGCAAGAGCAGAAGAAGAGGCGCGCUGCAGAAGAAGGCCUCUCCCCCCACUGGAAGGAAGAAUCAAAGUGCUUUGCUGUCUGGCAGUCUGCAUCUUGUCUGUCUGCAUUUUCGGAAUGGCAAUUUGUGAUGCCUGGCUUUGCGUGCUGCUCCGAAUGCCACCAGACGGGUCUGUGGCGUGGCUAUUCUGAGGACACAACCACCAACACUCAGAAGUUUAGGAGGCUCUGAGUCAGAGAGGACAUGAGACAUCACAGGGAAUCACGCUCACAGGGUUUAGCAAAUUGGCUUAAUUUGUUAUUUUGCACACACGCAGAAGGGCUAUCUUGCAUGUCAGGACCGUAAAUGUGUUAUUGCAGCACGUUAACCACAUGCCCACUGUUUUCUUCUAAUGUAUCCUGAAAUUUUGACAGGCUGUAACUGAUAUUCAUGCAUAAUUACCAUUCUUUGCAGAAAAUAAAAAAA